rnacentral:lncRNA from 1 species
GACAAACUGAAGUCCAGUUUAUGUGCAGAGGCAUUUUGGCACAUUGCUUGUAUUUAUUGCCUUUACUGUGUCUGUUGCACUGCUGUGGUGUUUGGUGUAAUACAGCAAGGUGAGAAUUAUUACUAAUGUCAUGACGGUAGGAAAAUCAAAGACUCCUAGCAAAGGCUUGAAAGGCAGUGUUGUUGGUUUUGCAGGGAGUGGGAGCAGGAGGUAAGCAGCUUUCCAUCUGCAGAGACAAAGAAACAGGCCUGGGAAAAAAGGAAAUAAUGCCUUCCCCCUCCCAUAGUGAACACCCAAGGAUGUCACUGUCCCAGUCCUCAAAAGAGCUUUAUCUCGUACCUUGGAUCAACUUUGUCAAAUGAAGAAAGGCUUUGCAAGUGGUUCUUGCCAAGAGAAGAUGACACUUCUGCUCCAUGAAAUGUAGUCUAAAGGUUGUUUGGGAAGCAGCAGGAAAACACCACGGGUGGAGCCAUUUCCCUUUCAGCUUUAACAAGUACACAGCAUCUCCAGAUACCUGAAGUCACCUAUUCUGAGUCAGGGGUAUGAGAAGAGAAGCACUGUAUCUUUCAUAAAAAGUGAGCAUCACCUACCUCUCAUUAAAGCAUUCUUCAGUUCAGGUAAAUUAUUCAUCCUUCUUUUUGUGCCCUGUCCUGAGUUGUAGAGGGAUGUUUGUUGAGGUGUAAAUGAAUCACUGCCCUUAGUGGAG